UGGCCAAAAAAAUAGGUGUAUUGACCAUAAAUUCCAAAAAUAACUGUAAAACUAAAGUUAACAAGUUAGUUGCGUAAAACAAGUGACAAACAUUGUAAAAAGGGACAAAAACGUAAGAAAAAGUUAAAAAAAAUUGAUUAAAAAGUGUCAACAAAAGAGUUGAUUUUUGGUGUCUAUUGUUGCUGUUGCAGUUACAGUACAAGGUAAUAAGGUGUAAAAUAAAUAAAGAAAUAACAGUAGAUUCU